rnacentral:rRNA from 1 species
CCUACGGGAGGCAGCAGUGAGGAAUAUUGGUCAAUGGGCGCGAGCCUGAACCAGCCAAGUCGCGUGAGGGAAGACGGCCCUACGGGUUGUAAACCUCUUUUGCCGGGGAGCAACGUGCGCCACGUGUGGCGCCCCUGAGAGUCCCCGGCGACAAAGCAUCGGCUAACUCCGUGCCAGCAGCCGCGGUAAUACGGAGGAUGCGAGCGUGAUCCGGAUUUAUUGGGUUAAAAGGGUUCGUAGGCGGAGCGUUAAGUCAGUGCUAAAAUUGAGGGGCUCAACCCCUGCCCGCCAUUGAAACUGGCGACCUGGAGUGGAAGAGAAGUAGGCGGAAUGCGUGGUGUAGCGGUGAAAUGCAUAGAUAUCACGCAGAACCCCGAUUGCGAAGGCAGCAUGCCGGCUUCCGACUGACGCUGAAGCACGAAAGCGUGGGGAUCGAACAGGAUUAGAUACCCGUGUAGUC